AUUGAACGCUGGCGGCAUGCUUUACACAUGCAAGUCGAACGGCAGCGCGGGCUUCGGCCUGGCGGCGAGUGGCGAACGGGUGAGUAAUACAUCGGAACGUGCCCAGUAGUGGGGGAUAGCUCGGCGAAAGCCGGAUUAAUACCGCAUACGACCUGAGGGUGAAAGCGGGGGAUCUUCGGACCUCGCGCUAUUGGAGCGGCCGAUGGCAGAUUAGCUAGUUGGUGGGGUAAAGGCCUACCAAGGCGACGAUCUGUAGCUGGUCUGAGAGGACGACCAGCCACACUGGGACUGAGACACGGCCCAGACUCCUACGGGAGGCAGCAGUGGGGAAUUUUGGACAAUGGGCGAAAGCCUGAUCCAGCAAUGCCGCGUGUGUGAUGAAGGCCUUCGGGUUGCAAAGCACUUUUGGCGGGAACGAAAAGGACUGUGCCAAUACCACGGUUCGAUGACGGUACCCGCAGAAUAAGCACCGGCUAACUACGU
rnacentral:rRNA from 1 species